UACGUAGGGUGCGAGCGUUACUCGGAAUUACUGGGCGUAAAACGUGCGCAGGCGGCGCGUUAAGACAGGUGUGAAAGCCCCGAGCUUAACUUGGGAAUUGCGCUUGUGACUGGCGAGCUGGAGUGUGGCAGAGGGAGGUGGAAUUCCACGUGUAGCAGUGAAAUGCGUAGAGAUGUGGAGGAACACCGAUGGCGAAGGCAGCCUCCUGGGCCAGCACUGACGCUCAUGCACGAAAGCGUGGGGAGCAAACAGG
rnacentral:rRNA from 1 species